UCUCUCCUUUCUUCUCUGGUUUUAAAAUACCCGUCGCCCCUCCCCUUUCGCUUCGAAGCCGCCGGCUUUAACAGCCGCUGCACCGUGCCGUCGAGCUGUUCCAUCGCUGCUGCUCGCCGCGUCGCUCGCUGGAGUCACCGGCUGCUGGGUCGUCACUGCCGCUCGCCGACGGUUGCUGCUGGAGUCGCCGAGGAGGUGCCGCUGCUGUCGCGGUUUUGCUCGCUGCUGUCGCCGGACAGCACAGCUGCUGUCGCCGGCGCCCGAACCACUCCGAUCAGCCCCGCACUUCACCCGAGCAGCCCUGAAUCGUCACCGGCAGCCCCAUCAAUCAUUCGCAACAACCCCGAACCGCCCCGAUUACAACCGAACCGCUAAGGUCUCACUCAAGUUAUGUCCUUUUCAUGUUUUCAAUUUAGUUACAGCGGGGUUUAGUUCGUGAUUGUUCGAUUGGCGGUGUUCGAUUUAUGUUGAUUGUUGAAUUCCUUGUAGGAGGUGGGUGUAUGAAAAUAAUGUAUGAAAUAUAUACAAAAAUUCAUGCUUUGGGGAAUUGAUAGAGAUUAUAUCUCAAAAGGAUUGAACUUGGUGAUGGAGGAGAAAGAAUGGUAGCAAGAAUUAAUGGUGGAAGAUGGAAGAUGGAAGCUCAUGGAGUUGGCGUUCCAUUUCAUGUGAAGGAGGGAUUGGGCUUGAAAAAAAAAGAGAAGUCUAUGAAGAAAUUGGGCUAAAAAUAUCUCCCACAACUUUAAUUAAAUUGUUUGGGCUCAUUUAGUUGUAGAGCCCAAAUUUGUAUAAUUAUUUAUUUGUUGGACUUUUUCGAUUGUCAUGGCCCAAAGUCAUUUUUAUAAAAACAUUUGGACUCAAAUUUUA